GGCUCUUCGUUUAUAUCAGAUGUGGAGUCGGACCUGCCCGGUGAGUUUUUAACGGCCGCGGUAUUCUGACCGUGCAAAGGUAGCAUAAUCAUUUGUCUUAUAAUUAAAGACUGGUAUGAAUGGUUUGACAAGAAUGCGACUGUCUCUUCAUAGUUAAUUAGAAUUUUAUUUGCGGGUGAAGAAGCCUGUAUAAUAUUAAAAGACGAGAAGACCCUAUCGAGCUUAAGGGAAAUUGAUAGUUUGUAUUUAAAUGGGUGAGAAAUAAGUCUAUUAUGGAUUUUGGUUGGGGCGACUAGGGAAUAAGAGUAGCUUCCUUUAUUGUUUAAUUUCUAACUGGUGUUGAUCCAAGAAAUCUUGAUUGAAGGAAUUAGUUACCGUAGGGAUAACAGCAUAAUCUUUUUUGAGAGUUCUUAUCGAAAGAAAGGUUUGUGACCUCGAUGUUGGACCAGAAUGUCCUAAAGAUGUAGAAGUCUUUAAGGGUUGGUCUGUUCGACCAUUAAAAUUCUACG
rnacentral:rRNA from 1 species